UUGGAAUAUGUGCUUUUGCACAUUGGGUAGGGGAGCGUUCUGUAAGCGGUUGAAGGUGUGUGGUAACGCAUGCUGGACGUAUCAGAAGUGCGAAUGCUGACAUGAGUAACGAUAAAGGGGGUGAAAAACCUCCUCGCCGGAAGACCAAGGGUUCCUGUCCAACGUUAAUCGGGGCAGGGUAAGUCGACCCCUAAGGCGAGGCCGAAAGGCGUAGUCGAUGGGAAACGGGUUAAUAUUCCCGUACUUCUUACAAUUGCGAUGGGGGGACGGAGAAGGCUAGGUGGGCCUGGCGACGGUUGUCCAGGUUCAAGUGCGUAGGCUUAAGAGUUAGGUAAAUCCGGCUCUUUCUAAGGCUGAGACACGACGUCGAGCACCUACGGGUGUGAAGUCAUUGAUGCCAUGCUUCCAGGAAAAGCCUCUAAGCUUCAGAUUGUAAGGAAUCGUACCCCAAACCGACACAGGUGGUCGGGUAGAGAAUACCAAGGCGCUUGAGAGAACUCGGGUGAAGGAACUAGGCAAAAUGGUACCGUAACUUCGGGAGAAGGUACGCUCUCGACGGUGAAGUCCCUCGCGGAUGGAGCUAUUGAGAGUCGCAGAUACCAGGUGGCUGCAACUGUUUAUUAAAAACACAGCACUGUGCAAAAUCGUAAGAUGACGUAUACGGUGUGACGCCUGCCCGGUGCCGGAAGGUUAAUUGAUGGGGUUAGACUUCGGUCGAAGCUCUUGAUCGAAGCCCCGGUAAACGGCGGCCGUAACUAUAACGGUCCUAAGGUAGCGAAAUUCCUUGUCGGGUAAGUUCCGACCUGCACGAAUGGCGUAAUGAUGGCCACGCUGUCUCCACCCGAGACUCAGUGAAAUUGAAAUCGCUGUGAAGAUGCAGUGUACCCGCGGCUAGACGGAAAGACCCCGUGAACCUUUACUACAGCUUGGCACUGAACAUUGACCCUACAUGUGUAGGAUAGGUGGGAGGCUUUGAAGCACGUACGCCAGUAUGUGUGGAGCCGUCCUUGAAAUACCACCCUUGUAGUGUUGAUGUUCUAACGUCGACCCCUUAUCGGGGUUGCGGACAGUGCCUGGUGGGUAGUUUGACUGGGGCGGUCUCCUCCCAAAGAGUAACGGAGGAGCACGAAGGUGGGCUAAUCACGGUUGGACAUCGUGAGGUUAGUGCAAUGGCAUAAGCCCGCUUGACUGCGAGAAUGACAAUUCGAGCAGGUGCGAAAGCAGGUCAUAGUGAUCCGGUGGUUCUGAAUGGAAGGGCCAUCGCUCAACGGAUAAAAGGUACUCCGGGGAUAACAGGCUGAUACCGCCCAAGAGUUCAUAUCGACGGCGGUGUUUGGCACCUCGAUGUCGGCUCAUCACAUCCUGGGGCUGAAGUCGGUCCCAAGGGUAUGGCUGUUCGCCAUUUAAAGUGGUACGCGAGCUGGGUUUAGAACGUCGUGAGACAGUUCGGUCCCUAUCUGCCGUGGGCGUUGGAAGAUUGAAGGGGGCUGCUCCUAGUACGAGAGGACCGGAGUGGACGAACCUCUGGUGUUCGGGUUGUGUCGCCAGACGCAUUGCCCGGUAGCUAAGUUCGGAAUCGAUAACCGCUGAAAGCAUCUAAGCG
rnacentral:rRNA from 1 species